CCUCAACCGGAAUCAUUGGGGGGAGGUCUAUUCCGGUUAUGGGAAAAUUCCGGGUAAGGGGAGUUGCGGUAGGGAGGCAAAGAAAAAAGCCAUUACAUGCUGCACAUAUUAACUUAAAUGUAUAGCCACAGUUAUACUGUAAAUAUUUUCCAGUUAUAAAACCAUACAACAAAAACUAUGUAGAUCUGUUAUCUGUUAAAUUUUUUUUUUAAAUUGGGGACUCCCACUGAAGGGAGUCACCCGCCAAAAAUUCAUCUUUAUUAAAUAAAAGGUACAUGGAGAUAAUGAAAACACAAAUGUAUAAUACAUGGCCGCAAGGGCUUCGUGGUGACAAUGGUUAUUUAUUUACAGUAUGUACAAAGAUUGAGCUCCUCCGACUUCCGUCCCUGGGGCUCUGCUGCUCUGUCGGUGGCGUCCGUUGGCUGGCUGGCGGGGUGGUGCUCGGCUGAUGUUGGUGCCAUGCUGCUGAUGAGGGGCAGCAUGGUGAAGGCGGUGUUGAUGUCGCUGUUGGAGGCUGGAGAAGUCUAUGGUGGUGCUGGAUGUGGCGGUUCGUGGUGCAGCUUGUAGAUUCAGGGCCGGGACUAUAGUCGGCAUUCGGUUAUCACCCAGUAUCCGAAAUCCUCUUCAGUGCGGAAUUCGUAUUAUAGACCUCUUUCGGUAGCUGGAUGACUGCUAGGUACGGAUGGCUCUCCACUCUUGAGUGAAUGAGGUCUGAAGCUCUAUCGAAAGUCUGUUCGGCGUAUUUCAUAACGUUUUGUUGACAAUGGCGGCGGAUUUGGAUGAGUUAAGAAAUCACAUAAAUGGAGUUUUUGAAUUUUACGAAGAAUUGGAAAAUCAUGUUCGGCUUCCUAAACGAUAUAUAAGAAAUACGCCAGAUCCCUUUGAAAUCUACAGAGAAAAGGAGUUUCAAAAUAAAUUUCGAUUCUCAAAAGAGGUGGUUAGAAAUGUCCUGUACCCAUUUGUUCAGCAUUUCGAAAAACCAGAUAAUCGUGGUUUGCCGAUUCCUGCAGAGAGGCAGUUAUUGUUGGCCUUGCGGUUUUAUGCAACUGGGAGUUUUCACGAAGUAUGUGGGGACAUGAGUGGCCUAAGCCGAAGUACAGCGGGAGCAAUAGUUAAAGCUGUGACGGAAGCUCUAGCUGGACAGCUGAGACACCACAUCAAGCUACCCAACACAGAUGAGGAAAUGAAUGGUGCUAUGCAAAAAUUUUUUGAAAUUGGAAAUUUCCCUGGUGUUGUUGCUGCAAUAGACUGCACUCAUGUUCCCAUUGCAAAUCCUGGAGGAGAUAGAGGAGAAGUGUUCAGAAAUAGACAUGGGAUUUUUUCUCUGAAUGUCCAGGUUGCUGUCAGCGCCCAAAUGAAAAUUAUUGACAUUUGUGCUACAAGACCUGGUUCAUGCCAUGAUGCAAGAAUUUUUGAUGGAUCAGGACUUAAGGUUUGCUUCGAAGAACAACGCAUAAAGGGCAUUAUGCUAGGAGACAGUGGUUAUCCGUGUCUUCCAUACCUGUUCACACCACUGCUAAAUCCACAGACAGAAGCUGAAGAAAGAUAUAACGUCGCUCAUAUCCGAACCAGGAAUAUUGUGGAGAGGACAUUUGGUGUUUGGAAGCGAAGAUUCCGCUGCCUUACGAAAAAAACUGGAGCACAAGCCUGAAAACAUUGUCGCUAUAAUUUGUGCAACUGCUGUUUUGCACAAUAUUAGCUUAGAUGUCGAAGCGCCUUUACCAGAAGAUGAAUUUCCUUGGGUUGAUGUGUUUGGUGCUCCUAUAGCAGCAGAAGCAGCUGCUGGGAAUCGCAACAGAUUAGGUCAUCUGAUUCGUGCAGAUUUCAUUCAACGUCGGUUUAUGUAAUAUAUUUCAGUAAAGAUUUUCUUGUUUGAUUAAUCCCUAGUACUGUAGUAAAUGUUUGCGUAUUUUAUGCACUAUGCAAGACUUUUUUUAGUUUUGUUGCUGUAUUACAGUUUGUAAAAUUUUAUUCACCAUAUUUUUAACAAAUUGAAGCAUACAGCUGGUAAGCAACCAUGCUUGGCAUGUCAUGUAUCCUACUGUAGCCAAACAUAAAUACAAACAUAGCCAUGUGACUCACAUAUAGCAUGUCAAUAUAGUGUUUACGUUUAUCAGCUAGUUAUCCAAUCAUGGGACUGUAGGUUUGCAGACUACAGCCCUUCCCCAGAUUUAAUUUCUUUUUUUAAAUAAACAAAAUAUGGUUAGGUUAACAUGCAGCUAAAACUGCAUGCUAAUACAUAUAAUAAUCAUAAUUGUGUUAUUAGUUCAAGAGUUGCCAUUAAUAAUUGUUUUUAUAAAUUUAAUGUUAAAAGGUUAAAUUUCAGGAAGCCUCUCAACUAGAGUUUUACCUGUAUACAGUGUUUCGUGGCGGGAGUAAGCGUGUUUUAUACGUUUAUUUUUAAGUAUAAUAUUGUUAUAGUUGUAGUAGAAAUAUUUAAUAGGCUUCUUACUGAACCCCGUGGUGCAGAUUUAUUUUGUCAUAAUUUACAUUUUUUCAUGGUGUUAAGUAUUUCUGGUGAUUUUAUUGUUUUGAGCUGUAUAAGCAGCUUAAACUUACUUUUGUAUUUGUUUAGUUACUUUUUAUGUGGUUAGACAUUUUUUGUACCUAAGUACUUAGUACCAUGAAGAGUCCAUUGGUGUUUUGGAGUUACUGAAGAUGUUUUGUGCAGCUUGACAUGUAUUUAUAUCAUGGUCACACUAUAGCGGCCACAGUGACUUGUAACUAUUGAGAAGCAUCAAUAAAACAUAUUGAAAA